GCCCAUCACUCAGGACACAGGGUCUACACAACUGCCAUUCUCAGGAGUCCGUCAGUCACGACUGGGUAGACGUGACUUGUUUUUCUUCUCUACAGUUGACAGCAGCAUCCCAAAGACCUCAGUCAGGACUGAAGGGCUACCUGGCAAGCCAACCAGAUUGAAUUCCAACCCAGCUCAGCCAGCUGAAAUGUGAGAAGUGGGUAUUCUUCGGGAUAACCAAGAUCAAGGCAGCACAUGGCAUAAACAAUGCUUUGAAACACACAGGCAAAGAAUCCUUCAACUAAGGCUCUCAGCUGGAGGUGUGGCCCACCAGUCUCCUCUGUGCACGGGAUUUCUCAAGCAAGAAUACUGGAGUGGGUUGCCCUUUCCUUCUCCAGGGGAUCUUCCUGACCCAGGGAUUGAACCCAUAUCUCCUGCAUUGGCAGGUGAAAACACAGAGACCUAAAGAUGCUCAUCAUUCAAGUUCAUAUAGUCAGUUGGUGACUGAUCUGGAACAAGGAUCCAUUUCCUGAUUGCUGGCUCAGGACUGCUUGGGCCGAACCACACUUCUGCAUGAUUUUAUAGGUUUAUCAAAAAUAUUAUGUUGUAGAUAUUUUACUGAAUAUAUAACAAGUUAGCUUUGAGUAAACAGGAAAACAGAUCAUGUUGGGAAAAGAAGCCUGGAUAGUGAAAAGAUGCUAUGUAUGUGUGCUCAAUCGCUUUCAGUCAUGUCCGACUCUUUGUGACCCUAUGGACUGUAACCUGCCAGGCUUCUCUGUCCCUGGAAUUUUCCAGGAAAAAAUACUGGAGUGGGUUGCCACGCCCUUCUCCAGGGGAUCUUCCUAACCCAAGGAUCCAACCGGAGCCUCCUGCAUUGCAGGCAGAUUCUUAAACCACUGAACCACCUGGAAAGCCCAAAAAGAUGCUACUUGUCUUGAAAUUAAUUUGCAGGCUUAAUAUAUUAGGGGCUUAAAAGUGUGCAGCCUUCAGUAGUUGCAGCAUGUGGGUUCAACAGUUGUGCUUGCCGGACUCUAGAGCACAGGCUCAAUACUUGGGGCACAUGGGCUUAGCUGCUCCACGAUCAGGGUCAAACUCGUAUCUCCUGCAUUAGCAGGCACAUUCUUAACCACUGAGCUACCAGGGAAGCCAUGGAAGAGAAUUCUUAAUCCAUAAAAGUCACAUAUAAUAAAAGAGAGACAUAACAAUAGAAAAAUAGGCAAAAAGACCUGAGCAGGAAAAAUUACAAAAAAAGACAUGCAAAUAGGAUAGAUAGACAAAUAUUUAGUCUCAAUAUCAAUAACUUCAGAUAAUAUCCAUAUCUCCAUAGCAAUAACCUCAGAUAUGCAGAUGACACCACCCUUAUGGCAGAAAGUGAAGAGGAACUGAAGAGCCUCCUGAUAAAAGUGAAAAAAGAGAGUGAAAAAGCUGGCUUAAAACUCAACAUUCAAAAAAUUAAGACCAUAGCAUCCAGUCCCGUCAUUUCAUGGCAAAUGAAUGGGGAAACAGUGGAAACAGUGACAGACUUUAUUUUCUUGGGCUCCAAAAUCACUGCAGGUGGUGACUGUAGCCAUGAAAUUAAAAGACACUUACUCCUUGGAAGGAAAGUUAUGACCAACGUAGACAGCAUAUUAUAAAGCAGAGACAUUACUUUGCUGACAAAGUUCCGUCUAGUCAAAGCUAUAGGUUUUCCAGUAGUUGUGUAUGGAUAGGAGAGUGGGACCAUAAAGAAAGCUGAGUGCUGAAGAAGUGAUGUUUUUGAACUAUGGUGUUGGAGAAGACUGUUGAGUCUCCUUUGGACUACAAGGAGAUCAAACCAUUCAAUCCUAGAGAAAAUCAACCCUGAAUGUUCAUUGGAAAGACUGAUGCUAAAACUGAAGCUCCAAUACUUUGGCCACCUGAUGUGAAGAACUGACUCAUUGGAAAAGAUCCUGAUGCUGCGAAAGAUUGAAGGCAGGAGGAGAAGGGAAUGACAGAGAAUGAGAUGGUUGGAUGGCAUCACUGACUCAAUGGACAUGAGUUUGUGCAAGCACCAGGAGUUGGUGGUGGACAGGGAAGCUUUGCAUGCUGCAGUCCAGGGAGUCGCAAAGAGUCGGACACGACUGAGUGACUUCACUUAGUCUCCAUAAGAAUAAAAAACAUAAAAGAAAAACAUUGAAAAACUUGUUCUCUUAUCAUAUGGCUACAAAAUCUUUUCUCCUACUCUUUUUUUAAAGAUGAUAAUAUCAAGUGUAGAUGUUAGUUCAGUCAAAAGGGAAUUCUUAUACAAUAACAAAAAAAAUGUAUUUCUUGAUACAACCUCAACAGAUGGACAGUUUGGCAACAUGUAUCAAAAGCUUUAAAAUGUAUUGAAACACUUUGGCCUUAUCUGCCAUUCUAAGAAUUAA